UACGAAGGGGGCUAGCGUUGUUCGGAAUUCCUGGGCGUAAAGCGCGCGCAGGCGGUCCUUUAAGUCAGGGGUGAAAGCCCAGAGCUCAACUCUGGAACUGCCUUUGAAACUAGAGGACUUGGGUACGGGAGAGGUGAGUGGAAUUCCGAGUGUAGAGGUGAAAUUCGUAGAUAUUCGGAAGAACACCAGUGGCGAAGGCGGCUCACUGGCCCGUUACCGACGCUCAGGCGCGACAGCGUGGGGAGCAAACAGG
rnacentral:rRNA from 1 species